GGUUUCUCCAAAAUCAGUAGCCCAGACCAAAGUAAAGUGUAUAUUGACACUAACAGUAAAUAACCUCUAUGUAUCUAUAAUGCUUUUAAAUUAGCCCAUCCUAAUCCUGAUAUUCUUCUGAGACUUGUGUUUCAACCUAUAUGUACUUACUGUAUUUCUUCAGCGGGAACAUCAUUAACAUCAAAAAGCUGAACGUAAGAAUUCAAAGUACUUACACACAUUUAAAGUGCACAUAUUACAAAUAUUGCAAGAAGCCUACCUUUAAAAAGACAUCUAGAUCUAUCACUCCACGCCUUAAUGCUUCCCCAAGAUAAAAGAUGGUGUCUUCAAUUGCAUUUUCCUCUGCAUAUAAGUUCAGGAUCUGCUUGUAAAGUGGUGCCGUAGGAAUGAUAACUUCAUCUAUGUCAUUAUUUUCUGAUUGACUUUCCAUUUUCUCUAAGGCGGAACUGAGCUCCUCGUCCUUCUUUUUGAGAAGUUCAAUGUUCUUGUCAACUUCAGCCACUUCUUGAUCCAGACGAGUUACCAUCUCUUCCAGUUUCUGGUGUCCUUUCUUCAGGUCCUCUUCUGUGCGCUUCAAGGCAUUGAGUUCAGCUUGAGCACGAUCCAUUUCUUCUUUCAUCCGCCAUCUCAGUUUAUCACUGACUGCUGAAAUAAGGGAAGCUCGAAUGGUGUCUUCACUGAUAGUUCCAUCUCUACUGGGUCCAACUGUAGUCACAGGGGGCUGAGAAGGAUAGUAUGGAACAUUAGUGGUAGGUGGGAAUGGAACACCAGCUGGAUAAGGAUAGCUUGGGAAGCUUGGGUUUGCAGUGCUUCCAGUUGGAUAAGGAGAUAUUCCUGGCAUGCCA
rnacentral:lncRNA from 1 species